rnacentral:rRNA from 1 species
GGAGUUAGCCGGUGCUUCUUCUGUGAGUUGAUGUCCUUCCUGCCGGUUAUUGACCCGCAGGCCUUCUUCCUCACUGAAAGUGCUUUACAACCCGAAGGCCUUCUUCACACACGCGGCAUGGCUGGAUCAGGGUUGCCCCCAUUGUCCAAUAUUCCCCACUGCUGCCUCCCGUAGGAGUCUGGGCCGUGUCUCAGUCCCAGUGUGGCUGAUCAUCCUCUCAGACCAGCUACGGAUCGUCGCCUUGGUGAGCCGUUACCUCACCAACCAGCUAAUCCGACAUAGGCUCAUCCGAUAGCGCGAGGCCCGAAGGUCCCCCGCUUUCCCCCGUAGGGCCGUAUGCGGUAUUAGCCUGGGUUUCCCCAGGUUAUCCCCCACUACCGGGCAGAUUCCUAUGCAUUACUCACCCGUCCGCCGCUCGCCACCAGGGAGCAAGCUCCCCGUGCUGCCGCUCGACUUGCAUGUGUUAGGCCUGCCGCCAGCGUUCAAUCUGAGCCAGGAUCAAACUCUGA